rnacentral:rRNA from 1 species
UACGGAGGGUGCGAGCGUUGUCCGGAAUCACUGGGCGUAAAGGGCGCGUAGGUGGCGCGGGCAGUCAACGGUGAAAGUUCGGGGCUCAACCCUGAAUCGGCCGUCGAUACUCCCGGGCUUGAGCACUGUAGAGGCAGAUGGAAUUCCGGGUGUAGCGGUGGAAUGCGUAGAGAUCCGGAAGAACACCGGUGGCGAAGGCGGUCCGCUGGGCAGUAGCUGACACUGAGGCGCGACAGCGUGGGGAGCAAACAGG